UUCUUAUGGAAGACACUGGUGAAGAAUUUGUUCAUCUUGGGAGGAACAGACCUUCACUGAGGUUGCAAGAAUAGAGGCAUGGAAUCAGAUUUCUUGCAUUUUAAACAUACAGUGUUCUCUAACUAGCUGAACAGAAAAUAAUUAUAAGCUGGAAGUCUUCGAGCAAGCAAGAUUGGUAAAUGAGAAGAAACUUGAUUUGGGACCAAGUUUGUGGUACUCAACAAGAGAAGAUCAGCAAAUACUGAACCCCUUGCAUUCAAAUCCAAACAUCAGUAACUACAGUUGCACCGUGCAUACUGUGCAGUAGACGACAGAUAUCUUCAAAUAAUUUUAGAAGGCUGAGGGAUGACGAGUGCAGUUUAUGUGAAUUUGUGCCUCUUUUGGGGAACAUGGUGUCCAUUGAAUCACUGCAGUUAUUUUUUGUCAUGAAAACCAAAGAGUACUCCAGAAGGAUUAAUGAUAUAUUGUGAAGAUCAAGUAAGGUUUCUCAAGGGGUGUGCACUAAGAGAUGUGCGUAGACAGACCUGAAUCAUCAUCUAUUAGCUGCCUAGC
rnacentral:lncRNA from 1 species